AUCCGAUGGGGUAUUGUUGCCUUGUCGAGGAGCUUCCCGGAAACGAAAGUCUUUCGGUUCCGGGGUAGUAUGGUUGCAAAGCUGAAACUUAAAGAAAUUGACGGAAUGGCACCACCAGGAGUGGAGCCUGCGGCUUAAUUUGACUCAACACGGGAAAACUCACCCGGCCCGGACACCGUAAGGAUUGACAGAUUGAAAGCUCUUUCUCGAUUUGGUGGUUGGUGGUGCAUGGCCGUUCUUAGUUGGUGGAGCGAUUUGUCUGGUUUAUUCCGAUAACGAGCGAGACUCUAGCCUGCUAAAUAGUGACUAGAUUUUUAUGUCUAGUCUACUUCUUAGAGGGAUAAGCGGUGUUUAGCCGCACGAGAUUGAGCGAUAACAGGUCUGUGAUGCCCUUAGAUGUCCGGGGCUGCACGCGCGCUACAAUGGAAGAAUCAGCUGGCCUAUCCAUUGCCGAAAGGUAUUGGUAAACCGUUGAAACUCUUCCGUGACCGGGAUAGGGAAUUGUAACUAUUUCCCUUGAACGAGGAAUUCCUAGUAAGUGUGAGUCAUCAGCUCACGCU
rnacentral:rRNA from 1 species